GAUGAACGCUGGCGGCGUGCUUAACACAUGCAAGUCGAGCGAACAGACGAGGAUCUUGCUCGUCUGACGUUAGCGGAGGACGGGUGAGUAACACGUGGAUAACCUACCUAUCAGAGUGGGAUAACCUCGGGAAACCGGCGCUAAUACGGGAUAAUAUAUUGAACCGCAUGGUUGGAUAGUGAAAGACGGUUUUGCUGUCACUUAUAGAGGUAUCCUCGCCGCAUUAGCUAGUUGGUCAGGUAACGGCUUUCCACGGCGACGAUGCGUAGCCGACGUGAGAGGCGGGUCGCCCACCCUGGAACUUAGACAGGGUCCAGACUCCUACGGGAGGCCCCAGUAGGGAAUCUUCCGCAGUGGUCGAAAGCCUGACGGAGCAACGCGGCGUCAGGGAUGAAGGUCUCCGGAUCGUAAAGCUCUGUUAUUGGUGAAGAACAAAUGUGUAAGUAACUGUGCCGGUCUUGACGGUACCUGAUCAGAAAGCCCCGGCUAACUACGUG
rnacentral:rRNA from 1 species